rnacentral:rRNA from 1 species
UGGUGGCGAGUGGCGAACGGGUGAGUAAUACAUCGGAACGUCGCCCAAUCGUGGGGAUAACGUAGCGAAAGUUACGCUAAUACCGCAUACGAUCUACGGAUGAAAGCGGGGGAUCGCAAGACCUCGCGCGAAUGGAGCGGCCGAUGUCAGAUUAGGUAGUUGGUGGGGUAAAGGCUCACCAAGCCAACGAUCUGUAGCUGGUCUGAGAGGACGACCAGCCACACUGGAACUGAGACACGGUCCAGACUCCUACGGGAGGCAGCAGUGGGAAUUUUGGACAAUGGGCGCAAGCCUGAUCCAGCCAUUCCGCGUGCAGGAUGAAGGCCUUCGGGUUGUAAACUGCUUUUGUACGGAACGAAAAGGUCCUGGUUAAUACCUGGGGCUCAUGACGGUACCGUAAGAAUAAGCACCGGCUAACUACGUG